rnacentral:rRNA from 1 species
ACCAAGUUAGCUAAGGUUUCUUAAAUUUCUAAAUAAAAAGGUCAACUAAAUGAGAGCCGUCCAAUGCCCCCAUAAGACUUGAAUUUUAUAGUUUCUUGGCAUAUUUACAUAAAGCAGGGCUAGACACCUAGUAUUCUAUAUUGUCACUUAAUUAGAGGAUUAAAAGAGCAAUCUCUAAACUUAAAUAAAUUGGCAGUAUCUUUUUCUUAACAGAGGAGUUUGGAAGAUAAUUAGAUAAGCCCCUUUAUACCUUACAAGUUUUUAUUUUUUGUGUGGCUGUAAUAAGGAAAGGGUUUCUUUAACUUAAAUUCAGGUGACAUGAAAAGACUAAAUUUGCCAGUCUUAACUACAAUGAUAGUAUUAUUUAUCUAUGAAAUAAUAUAUAAGCGGAUUUGUGAGUAUGGUCUUUGAGUAGGAAACAGGCUAGAACCAGAUUUUAAGAUAGGUUCAUAUUGUCCGUCGCUCUCAAAUAU